rnacentral:rRNA from 1 species
CGAGGAUGCCUAGUAAGCGCGAGUCAUCAUCUCGCGUUGAUUACGUCCUGUCCCUUUGUACACACCGCCCGUCGCUCCUACCGAUUGAACGUGCUGGUGAAGCGUUAGGACUGGAACUUUGGGCCGGUUUCCUGCCCAUCGUUUCGGGAAUUUCGUUGAACCCUCCCGUUUAGAGGAAGGAGAAGUCGUAACA